AGAGUUUGAUCCUGGCUCAGAACGAACGCUGGCGGCGUGCUUAACACAUGCAAGUCGAACGCGAAAGGGACUUCGGUCCUGAGUAAAGUGGCGCACGGGUGAGUAACGCGUGGAUAAUCUGCCCAAUGGUCUGGGAUAACAUUUCGAAAGGGGUGCUAAUACCGGAUAAGACCACGAAGUCUUCGGACUUUGCGGUAAAAGGUGGGGACCUUCGGGCCUACCGCAAUUGGAUGAGUCCGCGUACCAUUAGCUAGUUGGUAGGGUAAUGGCCUACCAAGGCAACGAUGGUUAGCUGGUCUGAGAGGAUGAUCAGCCACACUGGAACUGAGACACGGUCCAGACUCCUACGGGAGGCAGCAGUGGGGAAUUUUGCGCAAUGGGGGAAACCCUGACGCAGCAACGCCGCGUGGGUGAUGAAGGCCUUCGGGUCGUAAAGCUCUGUCAGAGGGGAAGAAAUGUGAACGUGCCAAUACCACGGACACUUGACGGUACCCUCAAAGGAAGCACCGGCUAACUCCGUGCCAGCAGCCGCGGUAAUACGGAGGGUGCGAGCGUUGUUCGGAAUUAUUGGGCGUAAAGCGCGUGUAGGCGGUUUGUUAAGUCUGAUGUGAAAGCCCCGGGCUCAACCUGGGAAGUGCAUUGGAAACUGGCAGACUUGA
rnacentral:rRNA from 1 species